rnacentral:rRNA from 1 species
UACGGGGGGUGCGAGCGUUGUUCGGAAUUACUGGGCGUAAAGGGCUCGUAGGCGGCCAACUAAGUCAGACGUGAAAUCCCUCGGCUUAACCGGGGAACUGCGUCUGAUACUGGAUGGCUAGAGGUUGGGAGAGGGAUGCGGAAUUCCAGGUGUAGCGGUGAAAUGCGUAGAUAUCUGGAGGAACACCGGUGGCGAAGGCGGCAUCCUGGACCAAUUCUGACGCUGAUGAGCGAAAGCCAGGGGAGCAAACGGG